rnacentral:rRNA from 1 species
UUGGAGGGCAAGUCUGGUGCCAGCAGCCGCGGUAAUUCCAGCUCCAAUAGCGUAUAUUAAAGUUGUUGCAGUUAAAAAGCUCGUAGUUGAAUUUCGGGGUCAGUAGGUUGGUCAUGCCACUGGUAUGUACUGGCCUCACUGAUUCCUCCUUCCUGAUGAGCCGUAAUGCCAUUAAUUUGGUGUUGCGAGGAAUCUGGACUGUUACUUUGAAAAAAUUAGAGUGUUUUAAGCAGGCUAACGCUUGAAUACAUUAGCAUGGAAUAAUGAAAUAGGACGUUCGAUCUUAUUUUGUUGGUUUCUAAGAUUGACGUAAUGAUUAAUAGGGAUAGUUGGGGGCAUUAGUAUUCAAUUGUCAGAGGUGAAAUUCUUGGAUUUAUUGAAGACUAACUACUGCGAAAGCAUUUGCCAAGGAUGUUUUCAUUAAUCAAGAACGAAAGUUAGGGGAUCGAAGACGAUCAGAUACCGUCGUAGUCUUAACCAUAAACUAUGCCGACUAGGGAUCGGAUGAUGUUAAUUUUUUAAUGACUCAUUCGGCACCUUACGGGAAAC